UACGGAGGGUGCAAGCGUUGCUCGGAAUUAUUGGGCGUAAAGGGUAGGUAGGUGGUCUCAUUUGUCUGGGGUGAAAUCCUUGGGCUUAACUCAAGAAGUGCCCCAGAAACGGUGAGACUAGAGUACUGGAGAGGCGAGUGGAAUUCCCGGUGUAGCGGUGAAAUGCGUAGAGAUCGGGAGGAACACCUGUGGCGAAAGCGGCUCACUGGACCACAACUGACGCUGAGGCGCGAAAGCUAGGGGAGCAAACAGG
rnacentral:rRNA from 1 species